GAUGUCCCUGCCCAUGGCAGGGGGGUUGGAACUCGAUCUUUAAGGUCCCUUCCAACUCUAACCAUUCUAUGAUUCUACGACUCUUCUUACCUUUUCUGCAAUCUGGCUAUGGGAGUUUCAGGGUCUUCCAAGAGAGGAUAUCACAUUCCUAUCAUGCUCUCCAAGAAGAGGUGUUGAAGCCUGUGUAGUGCCUUGAAGACUAACUUCAUUAUCCUGCUGUGGAAGGGGUAAUUGUGUAUGUGAGCAAUACAGCUUCCUGGUUGUUUGGUUUAACACCACCCAAUGGCCAGAACAGUUAGUCUGAAGUAACACAUCUCUUCCAAAUGUAGUAGAGGCUGCAGCACAGCAGAAGGAAAGAACUAGAGAAGAGUAGUUUCUGGCUAAGGAAAAGCAUACAUUUUUGGGGUUACAGUCCAAGUUAUGGAAUACCAUCUUACAGGAUACUACUACUGUACUUGGUAUCAAAGGAGGACUCCAAUCAGCACAUGAGAGAGAGAUAGUCAGUGACGUCAUGUUAUGUGUUACUCUGAAUACAGCAGUCAUUUAGAGACCUGGCUUUGGGACUCCAGAUACUUCAAAAGGACAAGUGGUUCAGUCGAAGACACUCUUAAAUUAAAGGAGGCAGUGGCUUUCAUUGCAACUCGCUGUGGACUAACUUCCUAUUGGACCAUUGAAUCCUGGAGAUAUCAGUCGUUUAUGUUCCCAACUUCCAGCCUUGUUUAGCUCAGUGCCCUUCGCAGAACAAAGGGUAAUGAAUAGAAUCUUACAUCUCUAGGGGAGCAACCUCAGGCCAAAG